CCCGUUGCCUGCUGCCCCCUCCUAUUGCCUAGAGGAGCCAGGGAUGCCACGGGCUGAGGGGCUGGACUCAGAGCACAAGCCCCAGAACUGCUGUCCCAGGAAGCUUCCAGACUCCUCAGAAGGGACACCUUUCCUGGCCUCCACAUGUUGCCUGGGAUUUCCUUCAUCUGACACACCUCCUCACAUUGUCCUUGUGUGUGUUUACCACUCCUCCCAGCCCCGCCUCAUCAGCCUCUCUCAGUUCUGAAGGGGUGGAAGCGGUCCAAUUCUCCCCAGGCCUAGCCCAUAGCUGGACACACGCACAAACCAGCAGCGGCGCCAGCGUGGACCCAUGAAGCCACUAGGGGCCUUGCGCAGCAGGAGCCACCCAUCGCAGUCGGGCCGGCCCAGCUCCCGGCAGGACACCCGUCGGCGGCUCAGCCUGGUCGCCACGCCUGCAGCAGCACAGCACCGCCAGGCUGCUGAGGGGCUGGCAAGAUGCUGUGGCCCUCCACAAGCAGCCCCAGGGGCUGCCCCUGCCAGGUCUGUAUCCCUGGACUGCUGCACGUCACCUCAGACUACUCCUGUGCAGCCCUCAUGACGCGACGAUGCUGAUCGAUGGUGGAGCCCCGUUGGCCAGGGCAGUCUGCACAGCAUCCCAUUGGAUCCCAGGCACCAGAAAGGUCGUGGUGGCAGAAGUGGGAGGUGGGCUUACUCACCAGAGCCCGGAGCUGUUCUACACCAUCCAGGAUGAGCUCCUGGUGGCCCAGGGGCCACACGGUCAGAGCCUCGAGGCUGCGUGGGCAGAGCUGCAGCAGAUCCUGCAGGGGAUUUCAACACUGCCUGAGGCCCAAGAGCUAGUGUCCAGAGGGCUACAAGCAAGUUGCUGUGGGUUCAGGAAGGCCAGAGCACAUGAACAAUCGUACAACUGCUCUGGGCCUCAGCCUCCUCACCUAUGAAAUGGGAACAAUGGAAUACCUACCUUUA